ACGUUUGGCUUUCUAUCAUUUAGGCCCAUAUAUUCCGGGUAUGAAGCCGGAUCCUAUAGCCCGUUGGUAUUUGAACGGGUCAAGUACGGAUCAGAUACUAUGACAUAUUGCCACGGGUUUGGCGCUUUUUAGAAAGAUAAGAGAUGCAUUAGUCGGGACUCGGGCGGUAUCUUCGGCGCUAUAAUUUUAAUUGGGCUUUUAAUGGGCCUGAAUCUUUUGGGCAUAUUAUCCAUUUAUGUUUGGAAGGUGCAUCAACCUUUUUUGAAAGUAUACAUGCAGUAUAGUAUUCAUCGCAUUCUUGUUUUUUUAUUUUUUUUCCCUGUUGUCUAUUUGAAGUC